UGACCAACAUUUUUAAAAAAGUAUAAUUUGUUUAAACGCCGUAGCCAGUACAACGGCUACAAGACUGUUAAGGCUCUUAAGAACGCAACAAUGCAAGCAGCCAAUUAAUCAGUGUUACCUGUGUAGUGCAAACCAAUUUUUUCCCCUCAAAAUAAAAUUUUAACACAUUCCCAGGGCACAAGUGUCAACGUAAAAUUGAAAAAAUAUAUAGAAAAUAAUCAGAGUAAAAAUUUUCUACGACAAUAAAUAUUAAUACAAAAUCGGAAACAAAGUCCAAUCAGCCGUCAAGCGAGUGUAGUUUAGCUAAGACCAUACAUACUAUAUACAUAUGUAUGCACUGGCGUACAUACAUACUAAAGUGACAAAUAGUAGUGAAAACGAUUCCACCGCUACUAUCACUAACAAAUUGACCAGCAAAGUGCUUGCCAAUAAAUAUUCGCGCUCUAAACGCACAUUCAUACCUACAUACAUAUAUAUCUGUCACCUCCACAGUAUCUGCUGCCUGCUGCUGGUUGCCAGUGCAUUGUUGUUACAGCUGUGAUUAUAUGCCGAUUGAGCGUAUGUCAGCGUGAGCUAAAUUAUGUAAAAAGUGCAAAAAAUUCUGUAGCUGAUGCAACAUCUGAUAACAGCAACAACAAAUGUGAGAACACGGAACUAACUACCGGGAAACUGAUAAAUAACGACAAAAGCAACGAUUACAAAAGG